rnacentral:pre_miRNA from 10 species
GGAUGGAGGGUUUCGGAGGCAGCGUUAGUUACGUGCAUUCUUGGGUAAAUAAUAACAUUACAUGAAACUGUUAUUGCUUGAGAAUACACGUAGCUAACAAAUGCUCAACAACAACGACGACGA